CCAAAGAGAGAGAGAGAGAGUUAAAAUGUGUACAAGACAAAGGAAAAUUCAAGACGUCAUACGGUACGAGCUUCGCUCCUCAAUUAAAUUCCUGCCUAUCUUCCUGCCCCCAAUCUGUUCCCGAAUACGGUUCCUGCAAAAACAGAACUGGGUCAUUCCAGCAACUGAAUACCCCGAAAAACAAUCAAUUAGAAAGGGCGAAAUAAUCACACGCCACUGCUCUGAUCACAGCCAUCAAUCAGACAGAGAUAGCCAUGCCAGUGUGCAUGUAACACAAAUCUCGACUGCAGCACGGACAACAACAAGGACAACAACAGGAACAGGAAGAAGAAUGAGAAGGAGAAGUAGCGGCAGUGCCAGGAAAUGAUGAAGAGGAAUGUAAUGAAGGAGCUGUAACAACAACAACAACAGCCGCAGCAGCGGCACUAAAAGAAGACAUGUGAGAUUGAUGAC